rnacentral:tRNA from 2 species
GGCUCAAUGGUCUAGGGGUAUGAUUUUCGUUUCGGGUGCGAGAGGUUCCAGGUUCAAAUCCCGGUUGAGCCC